UAGCGCUACGACUUUUUCAAGGCGUUCAGAUUUGCGUGCACUAUUCCAUGUCGUAUCCGUAUAAACUCGUGAAAGAGAAAGCGAGAAAUCUCCUAAUGCUUCUGUCCACAUUCUGAAGUGUUCAUCAGAUGGGUACAUCUAUCAUAGGAGGCCACGAAAAACCAUACGAUAACCAAGAUGAUAAAAAAAAGUUACAUAACUGACGUUAAGCGCAACUUUAAAUAAAUGCCUUUCUAAUGUUGGCACAUUGGUACAUCUGCACAAAGAUGUCGGACAGCUGCUUGAAGAUCUUCCUUUGGAGAAAUUUUACACUCGAAAAAUGUGAGUAUUUACUCUAGACUGCAAAGCCCACCCCAACACUUACAAAAAUAAUAAAUGCUGUUCACAAACACACACACACACACACACACACACACACACACACACAGCUAUGCAUGAAUAGUCACUAGACAAAUGUAGCCAAGGUGAGUACAUCUUAAUUUCCAGUCAAAAAAUGAAAUAAUGUAGUUAUACAUUAUUGAAAUUAUUAAUGUAUUCAUCAACAAUUAAAGAAAAUAUGAAUGUAUGAUUAAAAGAAUUAAUAAUAGUAACCAUGAUAAAUAAAUACAAGUCAACAAGAUACGAAACUAAGCUUUAUUCAAACUUAUUCAAACAAUCAUGUAUUUCAG